GCUUAGAAGCAGCCAUCAUUUAAAGAAAGCGUAAUAGCUCACUGGUCGAGUCGGCCUGCGCGGAAGAUGUAACGGGGCUAAACCAUGCACCGAAGCUGCGGCAGCGACGCUGAUGCGUUGUUGGGUAGGGGAGCGUUCUGUAAGCCUGCGAAGGUGUGCUGUGAGGCAUGCUGGAGGUAUCAGAAGUGCGAAUGCUGACAUAAGUAACGAUAAAGCGGGUGAAAAGCCCGCUCGCCGGAAGACCAAGGGUUCCUGUCCAA
rnacentral:rRNA from 1 species